AAAAAAGCCGGAAUAGCUCANUCGGUAGAGCAGAGGACUGAAA
rnacentral:tRNA from 2 species